UACAGAGGGUGCAAGCGUUAAUCGGAAUUACUGGGCGUAAAGCGUGCGUAGACGGUUAUGUAAGUCAGAUGUGAAAGCCCCGGGCUCAACCUGGGAAUUGCAUUUGAGACUGCAUAGCUAGGGUGCGGAAGAGGGAAGCGGAAUUUCCGGUGUAGCGGUGAAAUGCGUAGAUAUCGGAAGGAACACCGGUGGCGAAGGCGGCAUCCUGGACCGACACUGACGCUGAGGAGCGAAAGCCAGGGGAGCAAACGGG
rnacentral:rRNA from 1 species